rnacentral:tRNA from 1 species
GGGGUUGUGGCUCAGUGGUAGAGCAUUCGUCUCGCACACGUGGGUCCCUGGGUUCGAUCCUCAGCACCACG